rnacentral:SRP_RNA from 1 species
GCUGGGCAUGGUGGUGGAUGCCUGUAAUCCCAGCUACUCAGGAGGCUGAGGCAGGAGAAUCACUUGAUCCUGGGAGGUGGGGGUUGCAGUGAGCCGAGAUCGUGCCAUUGCACUCCAGCUUGGCAACAGAGUGAGACUGCAUCCAGAAAAAGGAAAGAAAAGAAAAUCAGAUACUUCAGACUUGGUGUUUCUGGUUUUUUUUUUUUUUUUUUUUGAGUCGGAGUGCGCUCUUGUUACCCAGGCUGGAGUGCAAUGGCGCGAUCUCGGCUCACUGCAACCCCCACCUCCCAGGAUCAAGUGAUUCUCCUGCCUCAG